rnacentral:rRNA from 1 species
UUAAGCGACUAAGCGUACACGGUGGAUGCCCUGGCAGUCAGAGGCGAUGAAGGACGUGCUAAUCUGCGAUAAGCGUCGGUAAGGUGAUAUGAACCGUUAUAACCGGCGAUUUCCGAAUGGGGAAACCCAGUGUGAUUCGUCACACUAUCAUUAACUGAAUCCAUAGGUUAAUGAGGCGAACCGGGGGAACUGAAACAUCUAAGUACCCCGAGGAAAAGAAAUCAACCGAGAUUCCCCCAGUAGCGGCGAGCGAACGGGGAGCAGCCCAGAGCCUGAAUCAGUGUGUGUGUUAGUGGAAGCGUCUGGAAAGACGCGCGAUACAGGGUGACAGCCCCGUACACAAAAAUGCACAUACUGUGAGCUCGAUGAGUAGGGCGGGACACGUGGUAUCCUGUCUGAAUAUGGGGGGACCAUCCUCCAAGGCUAAAUACUCCUGACUGACCGAUAGUGAACCAGUACCGUGAGGGAAAGGCGAAAAGAACCCCGGCGAGGGGAGUGAAAAAGAACCUGAAACCGUGUACGUACAAGCAGUGGGAGCACGCUUAGGCGUGUGACUGCGUACCUUUUGUAUAAUGGGUCAGCGACUUAUAUUCUGUAGCAAGGUUAACCGAAUAGGGGAGCCGAAGGGAAACCGAGUCUUAACUGGGCGUUAAGUUGCAGGGUAUAGACCCGAAACCCGGUGAUCUAGCCAUGGGCAGGUUGAAGGUUGGGUAACACUAACUGGAGGACCGAACCGACUAAUGUUGAAAAAUUAGCGGAUGACUUGUGGCUGGGGGUGAAAGGCCAAUCAAACCGGGAGAUAGCUGGUUCUCCCCGAAAGCUAUUUAGGUAGCGCCUCGUGAAUUCAUCUCCGGGGGUAGAGCACUGUUUCGGCAAGGGGGUCAUCCCGACUUACCAACCCGAUGCAAACUGCGAAUACCGGAGAAUGUUAUCACGGGAGACACACGGCGGGUGCUAACGUCCGUCGUGAAGAGGGAAACAACCCAGACCGCCAGCUAAGGUCCCAAAGUCAUGGUUAAGUGGGAAACGAUGUGGGAAGGCCCAGACAGCCAGGAUGUUGGCUUAGAAGCAGCCAUCAUUUAAAGAAAGCGUAAUAGCUCACUGGUCGAGUCGGCCUGCGCGGAAGAUGUAACGGGGCUAAACCAUGCACCGAAGCUGCGGCAGCGACGCUUAUGCGUUGUUGGGUAGGGGAGCGUUCUGUAAGCCUGUGAAGGUGUACUGUGAGGUAUGCUGGAGGUAUCAGAAGUGCGAAUGCUGACAUAAGUAACGAUAAAGCGGGUGAAAAGCCCGCUCGCCGGAAGACCAAGGGUUCCUGUCCAACGUUAAUCGGGGCAGGGUGAGUCGACCCCUAAGGCGAGGCCGAAAGGCGUAGUCGAUGGGAAACAGGUUAAUAUUCCUGUACUUGGUGUUACUGCGAAGGGGGGACGGAGAAGGCUAUGUUGGCCGGGCGACGGUUGUCCCGGUUUAAGCGUGUAGGCUGGUUUUCCAGGCAAAUCCGGAAAAUCAAGGCUGAGGCGUGAUGACGAGGCACUACGGUGCUGAAGCAACAAAUGCCCUGCUUCCAGGAAAAGCCUCUAAGCAUCAGGUAACAUCAAAUCGUACCCCAAACCGACACAGGUGGUCAGGUAGAGAAUACCAAGGCGCUUGAGAGAACUCGGGUGAAGGAACUAGGCAAAAUGGUGCCGUAACUUCGGGAGAAGGCACGCUGAUAUGUAGGUGAAGUCCCUCGCGGAUGGAGCUGAAAUCAGUCGAAGAUACCAGCUGGCUGCAACUGUUUAUUAAAAACACAGCACUGUGCAAACACGAAAGUGGACGUAUACGGUGUGACGCCUGCCCGGUGCCGGAAGGUUAAUUGAUGGGGUUAGCGCAAGCGAAGCUCUUGAUCGAAGCCCCGGUAAACGGCGGCCGUAACUAUAACGGUCCUAAGGUAGCGAAAUUCCUUGUCGGGUAAGUUCCGACCUGCACGAAUGGCGUAAUGAUGGCCAGGCUGUCUCCACCCGAGACUCAGUGAAAUUGAACUCGCUGUGAAGAUGCAGUGUACCCGCGGCAAGACGGAAAGACCCCGUGAACCUUUACUAUAGCUUGACACUGAACAUUGAGCCUUGAUGUGUAGGAUAGGUGGGAGGCUU